rnacentral:misc_RNA from 1 species
AUGAAUCGUAAGGACUUGGGCUGUCGCUGGCUCUCUCUGGGAGCAUGUGCACGCCUCGGUUCAAACUUUUCACUUUUAACCUCCUGUGCACUUUUGUGGAUCGCGGAUUGUUUUUUCUCAAAGUAACAUUUGGUUUUGAGGUUAGACUCUCUCUCUUCAGAGUCCUUUCCUCUAAUUCUGUCCGCGGUUCAUGUCUUUAUUACAAACUGGUACAUUUACAACCUAGAAUGCUUAACGAGUUGGGACUUUAGUGACCCUUCUUAAACUUUAUAUA